ACCCUCAUUUGAGACCCUAACCCUAGUUUGAAACCCUAACCCUAAUUUGAGACCCUAACCCUAGUUUGAAACCCUGACCCUAAUUUGAAACCCUAACCCUAAUUUGAAACCCAAAUCAUAGUUUGAAACCCUAACCCUAAUUUGAAACCCUAACCCUAAUUUGAAACCCUAACCCUAGUUUGAAACCCUAACCCUAGUUUGAAACCCUAACACUAGUUUCAAUCCCUAACCCUAAUUUGAAACCCUGACCCUAAUUUGAAACCCUAACCCUAUUUGAAACCCUAACCCUAAUUUGAAACCCUAACCCUAGUUUGAAACCCUAACCCUAGUUUGAAACCCUAACACUAUUUGAAACCCUAACCCUAGUUUGAAACCCUAACACUAGUUUGAAACCCUAACCCUAAUUUAAAACCCUAAGCCUAAUUUGAAACCCUAACCCAAGUUUCAAACCCUACCCCUAAUUUGAAACCCAAACCCUCGUUUGUAACCCGAACCUUAAUUUGGAACCCAACCCCUAGUUUGAAACCCUAUCCCUAGUUUGAAGGUUUUGGUUGAAUUUGAAACCCUAACUCGUGUUUAAAACCCCAAACUUAGCUUGAACCCAUAAACCUCAAUCAAACCAACACAUCCAUCAAUCAAAACUAUGAUUUGAAACCCAACUUUAAAAUCCGUACCUUGGUUUUCAACCCUCAUCUGAAAGUCCAUCUUCAAGAAGUUGUUUGACAUGUGCAAUCGAUGCUCGUGUCAAAUUAUCUUGCUAAUCAUGAAGGAAUUAUUUGUAGUUAUUGGUAGCGCCCAUUGCUCAAAAUUUGUAGCAUUGCACUUCAAAAAAAUAACACAGCUAGUACACCGUGGCAAGGAAUGUAAAGGAAU